rnacentral:rRNA from 1 species
ACGCUCGACACCUACGGGGGCAGCAGUGAGGAAUAUUGGUCAAUGGGCGCAGGCCUGAACCAGCCAAGUAGCGUGAAGGAUGACUGCCCUAUGGGUUGUAAACUUCUUUUAUAUGGGAAUAAAGUUUUCCACGUGUGGAAUUUUGUAUGUACCAUAUGAAUAAGGAUCGGCUAACUCCGUGGCAGCAGCCGCGGUAAUCUGAGCGGGCUGGCAAGGC